GGAAGCGCCUAUCUGAGUCCCUGGGGAAAUAGGAUAUUUAAAGCUGCAGAAUUUACUGAGUGUGGUUUUUUUUUGACGGAGUCGCAUAGUUAAUGUCUAUAAAUAGAAAACCCCGUUAGACUGAGAUCCAGCAAGUACGGGCUUCCGCGUCUUCCUCUGAGAUAGUACAUUGUUCAACUACCGUCAGGAAAGCAUUUACGGAAUAUCUAGCAAAUUUGUUUCUUGUUCGGUUAGAGUUAAUGGGAUCUUGCCAACAUUGCCUAUAAUAUGUCACUUUUGACAAGAAGUUGAGCAGGCUUUAUAAAUUCCCUUUUCUGUGGGAGCUUUUGUGCCACCGUUUGUGCACAAGGCUAAGAUGAAUAUGACUGAAUAGAACUGGUUAGGACUACGUACUUCAGUUAAAAAUUAUUUCAGCGUAAAGAAUGAAGCAGAUUUUUGCCAGAAGAUGGAGGCACUUCACCAGCCAAUGUGAUCUAAACACUCCAAUCUGAGGUCAGGGAUCUCAGCUCCAAGUGGUCGAUGGUUUGAUGUACUCAUUUCCUUCUCUGAAGAUCUCACAUUUGAACGUGAGUUUCAAGCAUCACUUAAUAGGGACGUCAAUACUGGCUAACAAGUCGUAGCUGUCCUCACAAGGCGUCUCCAAGGAAUUCAGGAAGCAAACAGGUGUGCACCAGCGUCAGGCCUGCGGACAUCCCCUCUGGGCUGCAGCAUUUCUUCGCUCCACACCUGUUAUCGGGCCGCCCUCAACUUCUUCUUCCAUUCCUGUCACACGGAGAUAGCACGUGCUGGCAGGAAACACCCUGUCUGCCUCUGGGUGCAGAGAGCCCUGGACGUUCGCUGUGUCGUGGAGCCAGGCGGACUGUGCUAAACUUACAUUCAGCUCAAGCCUGCCUGCCUUUGUGUGAGCCCCACACAGCUGCUGGGUGACUCCUUCUUAGGCAGGCUGGAGAGCAGCCAUCAGACUCCACAGGUGUCCUGUCACGGUAGGGACCCAUGCAAAGAGUUUCUCCCGCAAGACGGGACAGUGAGGUCUGCCUCAGCCCCGUGAGAGAGGCUGAAGUUACAGAGUUUUCACGGGUCUGAUUUGGUAAGGUGCUCGCCAUGUCUGAAUGCUGAGCAUUCUCACCCGAAGGGUUGUGAACAGGUGUAGACAUGAACUGCAGGUGGGUUUCCUGACGAGCAGAUGGGGCCACGCAGCAGGCAGGCUAUGUCAGGCCCACGGAAAAGUUCUAUUUGAACUGCACAGUGUUUUUAACCUCUUUUAAAUUGUUGGGUAUGUUUAAACAUGGGAAGAGUUCACGUAAGAUGUGGAUUUCUGAUUCGUCUUGAAAAAAUGGCACUAUCUGGCAAUUCUGUUACCCAGAGCUGCCCCGCGUCCCGGCUCUCUCCAGGUGACUUGGCGGCCUGCUCCUGAGCCGACCUUAUCUCUCUGUCCCCAGAGCCACUUGAGUUUGCAACCUGGGCACAGGCCUUUGUUAUCUUCUUUUAAAUUGGCAACAGCUAAACCUACAAACGCAGUGAAAUAACAGAACAAGAAGACAAAACCGGAGCAAAUGAACUACCUGAAAUGACAAAGCUCUACAUCAGCUGGUGACUGCACGGCUUCCACAGAGAGCUUCCGGAAGGAUGGUGAAGGUGUUCCAGAGCCACGCCACUGUCCAGCAAGAGGGAGAGGCGUCGGAGGGACUACUGCCCCGUAGAGCGACUUUGGAAAGAACAGGCGCUGAUUCGUGUGUGAACAAUAAAACGUUUUGAACAUUCUCAGCAUUAGCUCGGUUACCUCCCUAAGUAUCAUUAAAUAGUAACUGUAUUUACCGUUUCAUUUACUAUUACACUAUCGCAGCUUAAUUUUUUAAUAUUAGUUUUGAUCUGAUUGUAAGUAAUAGUGUUUACUUCUAAGUAAAAAGGUAACCCCAAAUAUAAAAUAAAAACGUUCAUAACCUUGUCUACUCAACUCUCAACCAUUGUCAACAGUGGUUAAUUUUGAGUAUAUACUUUGAGUCUUUGCCCUGGCUUAGAUGUACAGAACUUUUUAAUAUAAAAAUAAGAUCACACUAUAUAUGAAGAUUUGUAAUCUGCCUUUUUUUAUUUAAUGCAGUAUUGUAAAUAUUUUCCCAUAUCAAUAAAUUUUUCUUGGAAUGAUUAAAAUAUAGAGUUUCUCCAAUUGUUACACAGUGUUUCAUCUUAUGGAUGUACCAUCAUUUAUCUUAAAAAUCUCUUAUAGUAGAACGCAUAGGUUAUUUUCAACUUUUUACUAAAUUAAAUAUUCACAUUACAGUAAUAAUAGAUAAAUCUAUGUAGACAUUGACGAUAACUCCUUAGGCUAAGUUCUGAAAAGUGGAAGUUACGGAUCACAGACUUUAUUAAGUAGUAGGGCCAAACUGGUCUCCUAAAAGGGUAUAUUCUUGCCAGCAUGGAAAUCCUGCCCUUGCAAAGAAUAGGUGUUAGUAAUUACCUGAUAUUUGCUAAUUUGGUUGGGAGAGAUACAAUAUUUUAAUUUCAUUAAUUUGAUCAUUUGUGAGAAUAAACUUUUUUUCCGUAGGUUAAUUGAGUAUUUAUUUCUGUAUAUUCUUUGUGUAUUGUCUAUCAUGUUCUUUGCUCAUUUUUUCCCUGGAACAUGUGUCUUUUUCUAUUGAUCUUUAUCUAUUAAUUGUAUUGUCUUUGUCAUUAAAUUAUCCUUCCAGUUUGUUGUUUGCUUUUAAAUAUAAUUUAUGCAAUAAAUUCCUUCUUAAAUCUAAAUCUAUCUUGUCCCUUAUGGAGUCUACUUUAGCAUGUACACAUAAAAGAACUUAGUAUCUUUAAUAACUUUUAUCAGAGUCCUUUAUUGUUCCUCAAUCAAUUCCUCGCUAUUUCAUUAUAUAACUUUUUAAAAGUCAUGAGUUAAGUCAUUUUUUUUUAAGAUUUUAUUUUUUUCCUUUUUCUCCCCAAAGCCCCCCGGUACAUAGUUGUAUAUUCUUCGUUGUGGGUCCUUCCAGUUGUGGGAUGUGGGACGCUGCCUCAGCGUGGUCUGAUGAGCAGUGCCAUGUCCGUGCCCAGGAUUCCAACCAACGAAACACUGGGCCGCCUGCAGCGGAGCAUGCGAACUUAACCACUCCGCCACAGGGCCAGCCCUAAAUCAUUUUUGAAAAUCGUGAGUUACAUUUAGGUUUUACACACCUAUUCAGUUCAGUCUAACAGAUUUUUUCCGCAUUCUUCCUACUUUCAGUCUAGCACAGUGUUAGGAGCUAGAGAUAAGAGAAAACUAAUCCAUGAGAGAGGGCUAAUCCAGGAGAGAAGAUAAUCCAGGAGAAAGGGCGAUCCAGGAGAGAGGGCGAUCCAGGAGAGAGGGCGAUCCAGGAGAGAGGGCGAUCCAGGAGAGAAGGUGAUCCAGGAGAGAGGGCGAUCCAGGAGAGAGGGCGAUCCAGGAGAGAGGGUGAUCCAGGAGAGAAGGUGAUCCAGGAGAGAGGGUGAUCCAGGAGAGAGGGCGAUCCAGGAGAGAAGGUGAUCCAGGAGAGAAGAUGAUCCAGGAGAAAGAGGGAUCCAGUGUCCUGUUCUUGAGGUGGGA
ensembl:lncRNA